rnacentral:rRNA from 1 species
CCUACGGGAGGCAGCAGUAAGGAAUAUUGGACAAUGGACGCAAGUCUGAUCCAGCCAUGCCGCGUGAAGGAUUAAGGUCCUCUGGAUUGUAAACUUCUUUUAUAAGGGACGAAAAAAGGUCUUUCUAGAUCGUCUGACGGUACCUUAUGAAUAAGCACCGGCUAACUCCGUGCCAGCAGCCGCGGUAAUACGGAGGGUGCAAGCGUUAUCCGGAUUCACUGGGUUUAAAGGGUGCGUAGGCGGGCAGGUAAGUCAGUGGUGAAAUCCUAGAGCUUAACUCUAGAACUGCCAUUGAUACUAUCUGUCUUGAAUAUUGUGGAGGUAAGCGGAAUAUGUCAUGUAGCGGUGAAAUGCUUAGAUAUGACAUAGAACACCUAUUGCGAAGGCAGCUUACUACGCAUAUAUUGACGCUGAGGCACGAAAGCUGGGGAUCAAACAGGAUUAGAUACCCUGGUAGUCCACGCCCUAAACGAUGGAUACUCGACAUACGCGAUACACUGUGUGUGUCUGAGCGAAAGCAUUAAGUAUCCCACCUGGGAAGUACGACCGCAAGGUUGAAACGUCAAAUGAAUUGACGGCGUUGAGGACGNGCGAGGCGACACGAGGGAGAGG